CAGGAUUUUGUUGUUGUUGUCGCCGUCGCCAACGGUUGUUGCUGCUCCGCUAUUUCUCUUUGAUGGCCAAACUUGUUGCUCGUUGCUCAGCUUGCUCUCCAUGGCCGCCAUUUGAAGAAGCUGCAAAUGGUGUAGUCAUUGCAACAGAGAAGACACUGCCAUCUAUAUUGGUUGAUGAAGCAUCAAUAAGUUUGUUAUUUGUUAGAGUUUCCCUCUUGUCGGCUAUAUGCCUUGUGGUCCAGAAAAUUCAGUUAUUAACACCAAAUAUAGGGGUUGUAUAAAGGUAUACUAAAAUAGAUUCU